rnacentral:rRNA from 1 species
UACGUAGGUGGCAAGCGUUGUCCGGAUUUACUGGGCGUAAAGGGCGUGCAGGCGGUUUGUUAAGUUCAGGGUGAAAGCUCCCGGCUCAACUGGGAGAGGUCCUUGGAUACUGGUAGACUUGAGGAGGGUAGAGGAGAGUGGAAUUCCCGGUGUAGUGGUGAUAUGCGUAGAUAUCGGGAGGAACACCAGUGGCGAAGGCGGCUCUCUGGGCCCUACCUGACGCUGAGACGCGAAAGCGUGGGGAGCGAACCGG